rnacentral:tRNA from 1 species
AGGAUUAUAUUUAAUUAUAAUAUUUGAUUUGCAUUCAAAAGGUGUUUAAAAAACUAAUCUUA